UAUGCAUUCCCCAUACUUUGAAGAUGAGUUUUUACACAUUUCUAACCUAGUCUUACCCUUAAGUUUACACAUUUUUUGUUUACCUGCCAAGUUUCAUUGAAAAAUAUGGAUGCGCAUUAUCUCUAUUUUUACCCCCACUUUUGGUACCUAAUUUCAAAAUUUUCUAGAAUAUUCACGGGAGAUAGGGGGGUGAAAUAAUUAGCCGUUAAUGUAUACUUUUCAGAACUUGAAAAUAUUUUUAUAUGUUAGUAUAUGAAAUUGUAAAGAGAAACUCUUCAAAUAAACAUUAUUCGGUUUUAUAUAGUCGUUUAAUAAUCUAAUUUUUAGAUAAAAUGAGCUUUACUACAUUGCAAUCUCCAAACUAUUUGGAGAACAUUGCAAUCUCCGAAUUAUUGCCACCGAUCUCAAUCUCAAAGUUAUUUGGCCAAUAAUUAAUCACAAAUAAAAGUUUCAUCAGUUUAUGAUAUUCAACUCAAAAAAAUGAUACGCUCUAAAUGACAUUUGUUUGCUUAAUUUAUGUGUAUAUUUUUAAAUUUUCUGUGUUUUAUUUACAGGUUAUUAACCUGUAGAUAACGUAUUUAUUUUUAUUCAUCAUGAAUAAAAUAAAAUAAAAAUCUAAAGAUAAUCAUAAACAUGAAUUUCAUGUCUAUGAUUAUCUUUAGAUUUUUAAAUAAAUAAAAAAUAUAUGCAAAUUAACACUUGCAAGGUAAAUCGGUUGAAAGCGCAAGAUUUAAUACCAUAGUUAUUGUAAGUCAAAAGGAGCAAGUACUUUUUGGUUGAAAUAGAUUUAUUUAUUUUUUACACUCUGUGUUGGAGGUGGAGAGGCAACCUGCUUCCGAUUCGAUGGGCGCCACCGGUGCACGUUGUAAUAUAGUUUAAUUUAAUUUGUAUUUUUAUACUAGAUUUACUUUUUUUUAAAUAAAUAUAAAAUUGAUAAAA